rnacentral:rRNA from 1 species
CAGUCGCCGCGGUAAUGCGUAGGGUGCGAGCGUUAAUCGGAAUUACUGGGCGUAAAGCGUGCGCAGGCGGUUGUGUAAGACAGGUGUGGAAUCCCCAGGCUUAACCUGGGAACUGCGCUUGUGACUGCACAGCUAGAGUAUGGCAGAGGGGAAUGGAAUUCCGCGUGUAGCAGUGAAAUGCGUAGAUAUGCGGAGGAACACCGAUGGCGAAGGCAAUCCCCUGGGCCUGCACUGACGCUCAUGCACGAAAGCGUGGGGAGCAAACAGAAUUAGAUACCCUGGUAGUCCCUGUCUCUUAUAC